rnacentral:rRNA from 1 species
GAGCACGUAGGUGGGUUUGUAAGUCAGAUGUGAAAGCCUUCUGUUCAACGGAAGAAUUGCAUCUGAAACUGCAAAUCUUGAGUAUAGGAGGGGAGAAUGGAACUUCUGGUGGAGCGGUGAAAUGCGUAGAUAUCAGAAGGAACGCCGGCGGCGAAAGCGAUUCUCUGGCCUAUUACUGACACUGAGUGUGCGAAAGCUAGGGGAGCAAACGGGAUUAGAUACCCCGGUAGUCCUAGCCGUAAACGAUGGGCACUAAGUAGAGGGGUUUU